GACGUAGGGUGCAAGCGUUGUCCGGAUUUAUUGGGCGUAAAGAGCUCGUAGGCGGCCGAUCAAGUCGGGGGUGAAAGCCUGUGGCUUAACCACAGAAUGGCCUUCGAUACUGUUUGGCUUGAGACCGGAAGAGGUUAGUGGAACUGCGAGUGUAGAGGUGAAAUUCGUAGAUAUUCGCAAGAACACCAGUGGCGAAGGCGGCUGACUGGUCCGGUUCUGACGCUGAGGCGCGAAAGCGUGGGGAGCAAACAGG
rnacentral:rRNA from 1 species